rnacentral:rRNA from 1 species
UACGUAGGGGCCGAGCGUUGUCCGGAGUUAUUGGGCGUAAAGCGCGCGCAGGCGGCUUCGCGCGUCCGACGUGAAAGCCCCCGGCUCAACCGGGGAGGGUCGUUGGGUACGGCGGAGCUUGAGGGCGGUAGAGGUUGGUGGAAUUCCCGGUGUAGUGGUGAAAUGCGUAGAGAUCGGGAGGAACACCUGUGGCGAAGGCGGCCAACUGGGCCGACCCUGACGCUGAAGCACGAAAGCGUGGGGAGCAAACAGG